GACGUAGGGUGCGAGCGUUGUCCGGAUUUAUUGGGCGUAAAGAGCUCGUAGGCGGCUCGCCGCGUCGACCGUGAAAACCCGCGGCUUAACUGCGGGCUUGCGGUUGAUACGGGCGGGCUAGAGUUCGGUAGGGGAGACUGGAAUUCCUGGUGUAGCGGUGAAAUGCGCAGAUAUCAGGAGGAACACCGGUGGCGAAGGCGGGUCUCUGGGCCGAUACUGACGCUGAGGAGCGAAAGCGUGGGGAGCGAACAGG
rnacentral:rRNA from 1 species